rnacentral:rRNA from 1 species
AACAGAGAGUUAAAGAGUACGUGAAAUUGUUGAAAGGGAAGCACUUGUGACCAGACAAAUUUGCAAUUAAUCAGCCCUCAAUUUUGGUGGUGCACUUGAUUGCAAGUGGGUCAGCAUCAGUUAUAGUAGUGGGAUAAAGACCUAAAGAAUGUGGCUCCUCUUUUGAGGAGUGUUAUAGCUUUUGGUUUAAUACUGCUUGCUUAUGACUGAGGAUAGCACUUUGAGUAAGGAUGCUGACAUAAUGGUCAUAAGUGACCCGUCUUGAAACACGGACCAAGGAGUCUAACAUCUAUGCGAGUAUUUGGGUUCAAGCCCUUAUGCACAAUGAAAGUAAAUGGAGGUGGGAACCAUUAGGUGCACCAUCGACCGAUCCUGAAGUUUUCUGAUGGAUUUGAGUAGGAGCAUAGCUGUUGGGACCCGAAAGAUGGUGAACUAUGCCUGAAUAGGGUGAAGCCAGAGGAAACUCUGGUGG